rnacentral:rRNA from 1 species
GACGAACGCUGGCGGCGUGCUUAACACAUGCAAGUCGAACGGAAAGGCCCUGCUUUUGUGGGGUGCUCGAGUGGCGAACGGAUGAGUAACACGUGAGUAACCUGCCCUUGACUUUGGGAUAACUUCAGGAAACUGGGGCUAAUACCGGAUAGGAGCUCCUGCUGCAUGGUGGGGGUUGGAAAGUUUCGGCGGUUGGGGAUGGACUCGCGGCUUAUCAGCUUGUUGGUGGGGUAGUGGCCUACCAAGGCUUUGACGGGUAGCCGGCCUGAGAGGGUGACCGGCCACAUUGGGACUGAGAUACGGCCCAGACUCCUACGGGAGGCAGCAGUGGGGAAUAUUGCACAAUGGGCGGAAGCCUGAUGCAGCAACGCCGCGUGCGGGAUGACGGCCUUCGGGUUGUAAACCGCUUUCGCCUGUGACGAAGCGUGAGUGACGGUAAUGGGUAAAGAAGCACCGGCUAACUACGUG